ACAAUAGCAAGGUCUGAUGGGAGAUUGAGGGGGGACAAAGUAGCCAGUUUAAACUGGUCUGGCAGUGUCCCUGGGACAACACCCUGCUGGGGAAAUAACAGGACAAGAAAAAGGGUGAGGUGAAGAGGCACAUUUUCCCAUGGAAAUCACUCAUUAGCAUGUCUUUUUGCAGAGCCCAUAGUCUUGGGGCAAGAGGCUGGCAAUCAGGCCCCUCCAAAAGCCAGUUGCGAAAGGCAAUUCAUCACAAGCUGCUAAAAGUAGAAUGUGAGGCCAGUUUUGCAUAGUGUAUUAAGGGGAAUGUCGGUGUGUAGGAGCACAAUUUCACACUGGCUAGGAUAUUAAUGGGGACUAUCUCAUCCCAAUAUUUUUUAAUUAGGGGGGCAAUGCCACCAUAGAUGAAUAAUCAAG